UUCAAAAAAUGAAAUUAUUUUAAUUGUAAAAGGAAUGUAACUCAAAAAUAAUUUAAAACAAAAAAAUCGAAAGGAAGACAGUGGAAGGAACUGUGGAUGUUAUGCAUUACGGAUUCCGGAUCAAUUGGCUACUAGCAGUACUGCAGGGAAGCUUAUAUAAGAAAAAUUAUAUCCUUAUUGUAAGGCGAAUAACCCGAGUCUUGUUUCUUUCGAAAGUGGAUAUCUAGCAAUCAGUUUGAAAAUCUUUUCUUUUAAAAACGUCGUUUGUUCGUAUUAAACACUCUGUUAAUAAGAGGCUGCUAUCAAGAUUUUGCUGUUAAGGUAAUAUGGUGGAAAGUGCACAGUGAUUGUACUGCUACAAGGAGGAGUGUAAUACUUACUCCUGCUUCGAACUUUCGUUUUCAACGGAGGUGAUAAUUCGAUUCUCGUAAGAAGCAGUUAUUUAGCAAACUUUGGUUUUUUGGCGAAACAAUCCACUAGAACAAUAGAUAUUCGCACUAGUCCAAUGUUCUGGAAUCACUAACGAAACACCAAGCGAACCAAAAAUCCUUUACUACUCAUUUUAAACUCUACGCAAUGUCCACCAUCUUUCAUUGGAAAAAGUUGAUGCAGUCUAAUAUGAACCAAUCAUAAAAAUACAAACAUAUGUAUAUAUGUAUUU